rnacentral:rRNA from 1 species
AUUGAACGCUGGCGGCAGGCCUAACACAUGCAAGUCGAACGAGUGGCGGACGGGUGAGUAAUGUCUGGGAAACUGCCUGAUGGAGGGGGAUAACUACUGGAAACGGUAGCUAAUACCGCAUACCAUCAGAUGAUCCCAGAUGGGAUUAGCUUGUUGGUGGGGUAACGGCUUACCAAGGCGACGAUCCCUAGCUGGUCUGAGAGGAUGACCAGCCACACUGGAACUGAGACACGGUCCAGACUCCUACGGGAGGCAGCAGUGGGGAAUAUUGCACAAUGGGCGAAAGCCUGAUGGAGCCAUGCCGCGUGUAUGAAGAAGGCCUUCGGGUUGUAAAGUACUUUCAGCGGGGAGGCGUUACCCGCUGAAGAAGCACCGGCUAACUCCGUGCCAGCAGCCGCGGUAAUUC